AUUGAACGCUGGCGGUAGGCCUAACACAUGCAAGUCGAACGCGAAAGUCCUUCGGGAUGAGUAGAGUGGCGGACGGGUGAGUAACGCGUAGGAAUCUAUCCUGUAGUGGGGGAUAACGUUUCGAAAGGAACGCUAAUACCGCAUACGCCCCAAGGGGGAAAGCGGGGGAUCUUCGGACCUCGUGCCAUAGGAGGCGCCUGCGUCGGAUUAGCUAGUUGGUGAGGUAAAGGCUCACCAAGGCGACGAUCCGUAGCUGGUCUGAGAGGAUGAUCAGCCACACCGGAACUGAGACACGGUCCGGACUCCUACGGGAGGCAGCAGUGGGGAAUAUUGCGCAAUGGGCGAAAGCCUGACGCAGCCAUACCGCGUGUGUGAAGAAGGCCUUCGGGUUGUAAAGCACUUUCAGUGGGGAGGAAAAGCUGGUGGCUAAUAUCCAUCGGCCGUGACGCUACCCACAGAAGAAGCACCGGCUAAUUCCGUGCCAGCCGCCGCGGUAAUAC
rnacentral:rRNA from 1 species